UUCCAUCAUCACCCCCAAUGUCCUGAGGCUGGAGAGCGAAGAGACCAUCGUGCUGGAGGCCCAUGAGGCACAGAAGGACGUUCCAGUCUCAGUUUCUGUGCACGAUUUCCCAAAGAAGCAGGUGCUGACCAGCGAGAAGACAGUGCUAACAGGCGCCACUAGACACCUGGGCACCGUCACAAUCAAGAUUCCCGCCAGUAAGGAGUUCCAGACAAAUAAAGGGCAAAAGUAUGUGACAGUGGUGGCAAGCUUCGGGCAAACGGUGGUGGAGAAAGUAGUGCUGGUGAGCGUCCAGAGUGGGUACCUCUUCAUCCAGACAGACAAGACCAUCUACACCCCAGGCUCCACGGUCCUCUAUCGGAUCUUCACCGUAGACGACGAGCUACUGCCCGUGGCCAGGAC